UGAAGUAGAGGAACAAGUUCCAUAUAGAAACUUCUUUGAUAAUUCACACUUCAAAUACGACUCCUGAAAUCAUUUCUUUCAGCUAUGAAAGCCACCAAAAGAAGCAUGAAUUUAAAAAUUAAAGUAACCCUGUAUUGUACUUAGGAAUAACUGGGGUAUUAAAGCUUAAACAUUAUUUGGAAGAAAGAAAUGGCAUAUUUUAAAAUUAGCUUUUCCUCUCCAAAAUAUAGAUAUAACCAUUCUGUACCACACUACUAAAGUCAUUACUCUUUAGAAGAUACGAUUAAUUAUUGUCUGCUAAUAUUAUUGGUUUUUAAUACUAUAAGGUGGCUCUGUUUUUAGGAUAUUAUAUUUUGAGGUCGCAUGCAGCCUCAAAUAUUCAAGAAGCUCAUGCCCAGCAUGUGCUUUUGGAGAAAAACAGUAAUCUUCAGCGUGGCAUAAGAAGUAAGGAAGAAAACAAAAGUAAAUAAAAUUAAGUGUUUUCCCUCUUAAAAUACUAUUUGCAUCAAGUCAUAGAGUUAAUAUUUUCCUUAUCCUGGUUCUUUUAUGACAAUGUCUAUGAAAGCGUCUAUAAAACCAUUCCACAACAAAAAGAAAGAAUGAAGUAUUUUUUUGAGAUGGAAUUUACUAUAUUAAAUUAUCUUUCAUACUUUUUAAAGCCAAAAAACAAAAUUACUGUAACUAGAAAUGACAUUUUAAGAUAAAAAUAUUAAAGAAAAUGAUGGUGGUGCAGGGUAGCUGUCAUGAGAGUCGCCACAAGUUUUACCAAAGGUCUCAAAGUGUGAUUACCAUUCAUACCUCCUCCCCUCCCAUCCAACAGUCCCUCAAAUCUCUGAAUGAGGCUCUUGGGCACUCCACUGGACUAAAGGUCCCCCAACUCCAAAGCUUCUCCACCCUUGCUUAAUUUUUUCAAAUGUAUUUUCAAAGGGAGACAAGAAGUUAAAACUUUUCCUUCCAAAAGAACUCUUCUGAGCUGCUUAGUCAGAAACAAAAAGGACCCCCUCAGGCUAAGUCAGAAUGGGCAAGAGGAGUGGGAAGAGGUGCAAGAGGAGAGAAAAGGAAAAAGGGAGAGAACCUGAAAUGAAAAAGUAAGGAACUAAAGAAGAAAGACUAGACAAAAAGGAGCAGUGAAAAAAAAGUACCUAGCUCCUUAACAUUUUUAAGUUCUACUAACGGAAAGACAAAUUCAAUUCUCGGUGGUGGUGGGGUUUUUUUUUUAAGUACUGAGGUUUUACAUAAAAUUUAAAGCUCUUCUUUUCAUUCCUCCUAUCAAAUGUAACAGUAUCCCUACUACACAUGCUUCUUAUUUUAUUCAUCUGUAAACCAUUCCUGUCAACUCUCAAAUGCAGGUCUAGUCAAUCUCAAGGUCACUGGGCACACAUGCUCCUCCAGUUAAUAGGUUUGGGAUACAACCUCGUUGCUGUAAGAUUUUUUUUUUAGCUCUUUUAAUGUGUCAGUCCAGGCUUUUAAUACCUUUCAUCAAAUUAUUACUCAUAACUGGUCUCACAAGACCCAUAGUAGUUUAGCUUGAAGCCUGACCCUCUAAAUGUACAUGUUGUGACAUUCUUUGAAGGUAUUUACAGAAAAUCAUGGCAAUGACAUUUGUACUGAGACCAAAUAAGCAAUAUCUGUAAUUUGGGCCAUGGCUAAGAAAGGCUUGUGGCUUGACAAGGUGGGGACAGAUGAAGGGGGCGGUUGCUAUGGAAAAAAUGUGUGUUUAAGAUCAGAGAGCACUAUAAUAUUUCAUGUGAAAAUUUUCAUUAAGUACUAGGAAAGUAAAAAUCAAGUAAAGCCAACAAAUGUUUAUUAGGCAAUUAGGCACCCAUGGGCUGCCAAGCACUCUGCUAACUGACAAUGAAGAACUUUCUGUAAAGUAAAUCUGUUGAAGUAUACAUACAUAAUGUGCAACAAAUCAGAAGUAUACAGCCUGGUGAACUUUCUGUAAAUUGACAAACCAGAAUAACUACCAUUAAAUUCAAGAUAUAGAACAUUACAGACACAUGCAAAAGAAAGAAAAUAGAUCUUUGUUUUAUAUCACAUACAAGAAUAGCCUAUACUCUGGUUUCUCUUCAGAUCAUAUAAAUCUUUCACCUUAUACAAGAAUAGCCUAACAAUAGAUUAAAGACUUAAAUGUAAGACCCAAAACCAUACAUACAACUCCUAGGCCAAGAAAACAUAGGCAAAAAUUCUCUGACAUCACUCCUAGUAGUAUUUUUUUUAAUAUGUCUCCUCAGGCAAGAGAAACAGAAGAAAAAAUAAAUAAAUGGGACUAUAUCAAACCAAACAGUUUUUGCACAGCAAAGUAAACCAUCAACAAAAUGAAAAGACAACCCACUGAAUGUGCAAAGAUAUGUGCCAGUGAUGUAUCUGAUUAGGGGUUAAUAUCCAAAAAACAUAAGAACUCAUAUAAUUUAACACCAAAAAUUAAAAACAAAAACAA